AAUUAUCUGCAGGCCUUUGCCGGGGCACUGAUUAAGGCUACGAAGAGACGCACCGGGCUGCGGGCUUAGCUUCAGGCUUCUGAAGUCAAGAGGGAGGGCUGAGAGCUUACACUUCUGGAGCUCCCCGGGAGACGGCAACUACCCAACCGUGUGGGUGUGUUUGUGUAUGUGUCUUUUGUUGAGCUUCGGCUGGCUGUGUUAUUCAUUCAACAAAUAUUUAUCGAUCUUCGGCAGUGUGUCAGACAUACCUUCUUCUCAAAUCUUCACAUCAAACCUGAAUUAUCUCCAUUUAAUGAUGAGGAAACUCGGGCUCAAAGAAGUUAAGUGUUCUAGCCAAGACUGCAUAGAACAUGGAGGAGACAUAUUUCCGCCUAUUUCUCUCCAUAAGUAUAAAAGACCAUAAAAGACCAUCUAGGGACUUCAGAACCCAAAUAAUGACACAAUGUUAAUUUGCAGGUUCUCCCUCUGCCUGCCACCACACCCAGCAAGGAGGAGAGGAAGUGUUGAGAAGGGAAGAGAUGAGUCCUGGCCCUGUCACUUCUUAGGGGUGUGCUUUUGAACAACCUGCUCACCAUGUAUGAACUUCACUCUUCUUGUUUAUAAAAUGAGGACAAUGACACCUGCAAGACUGUGAGGUUUAAAAACAAAAUCUGUGUUGAGAGGUAACUUGCCUCUUUUACUUACCAACGAUUUCCUCAAUGCCUGGCGACUGGGGCUGGUUCAUACUAGACGAUCAAUAAAUGCUCCUUGAAUGAA